rnacentral:rRNA from 1 species
UACGUAGGGGGCUAGCGUUGUCCGGAAUCAUUGGGCGUAAAGCGCGCGUAGGCGGCCCGGUAAGUCCGCUGUGAAAGUCAAAGGGCUCAACCCUUUGAAUGUCAAGCGGAUACUGCCGGGCUAGAGUCCGGAAGAGGCGAGUGGAAUUCCUGGUGUAGCGGUGGAAUGCGCAGAUAUCAGGAGGAACACCAACGGCGAAGGCAGCUCGCUGGGACGGUACUGACGCUGAGGCGCGAAAGCGUGGGGAGCAAACAGG